rnacentral:rRNA from 1 species
GAUGAACGCUGGCGGCGUGCCUAAUACAUGCCAGUCGAGCGAACGGACGAGAAGCUUGCUUCUCUGAUGUUAGCGGCGGACGGGUGAGUAACACGUGGAUAACCUACCUAUAAGACUGGGAUAACUUCGGGAAACCGGAGCUAAUACCGGAUAAUAUUUUGAACCGCAUGGUUCAAAAGUGAAAGACGGUCUUGCUGUCACUUAUAGAUGGAUCCGCGCUGCAUUAGCUAGUUGGUAAGGUAACGGCUUACCAAGGCAACGAUGCAUAGCCGACCUGAGAGGGUGAUCGGCCACACUGGAACUGAGACACGGUCCAGACUCCUAAGGGAGGCAGCAGUAGGGAAUCUUCCGCAAUGGGCGAAAGCCUGACGGAGCAACGCCGCGUGAGUGAUGAAGGUCUUCGGAUCGUAAAACUCUGUUAUUAGGGAAGAACAUAUGUGUAAGUAACUGUGCACAUCUUGACGGUACCUAAUCAGAAAGCCACGGCUAACUACGUG